rfam:Triticum aestivum genome assembly, contig: Triticum_aestivum_CS42_TGACv1_scaffold_095582_2AL
AAAAUACUCCCUCCGUCCGGAAAAGUUUGUCCCUCAAAUGGAUGUAUCUAGCAUCAAGUUAGUGCUAGAUACAUCCAUUUGUGACACAAGCUUGGGACAAGCUUUUUCGGACGGAGGGAGUAUAUA